rnacentral:rRNA from 1 species
UACGGAGGGGGCUAGCGUUGUUCGGAAUUACUGGGCGUAAAGCGCACGUAGGCGGCUUUGUAAGUUAGAGGUGAAAGCCCGGAGCUCAACUCCGGAACUGCCUUUAAGACUGCAUCGCUUGAACGUCGGAGAGGUAAGUGGAAUUCCGAGUGUAGAGGUGAAAUUCGUAGAUAUUCGGAAGAACACCAACGGCGAAGGCAGCUCGCUGGGACGGUACUGACGCUGAGACGCGAAAGCGUGGGGAGCGAACAGG